GACGAACGCUGGCGGCGUGCCUAAUACAUGCAAGUCGAACGCAGUGGGGACGGGUGAGUAACACGUGGGUAACCUCCCAUCAGAGGGGAUAACACUUGGAAAAAGCUGCUAAACUGAUACUGAUGGAUGGACCCGGGGGGCAUUAGGUAGUUGGUGAGGUAACGGCUCACCAAGGCCACGAGGCAUAGCCGUCCUGAGAGGGUGAUCGGCCACACUGGGAUUGAGACACGGCCCAGACUCCUACGGGAGGCAGCAGUAGGGAAUCUUCGGCAAUGGACGAAAGUCUGACCGAGCAACGCCGCGUGAGUGAAGAAGGUUUUCGGGUCGUAAAACUCUGUUGUUAGAGAGGCGGUAUCUAACCAGAAAGCCACGGCUAACUACGUGCCAGCAGCCGCGGUAAUAC
rnacentral:rRNA from 1 species